UGGGGAAUAUUGCGCAAUGGGGGAAACCCUGACGCAGCGACGUCGUGUGAGGGAAGAAGGCCUUCGGGUCGUAAACCUCUGUCAGAAGGGAAGAACCGCCGGGGGUCGAACAGCCCCUCGGUCUGACGGUACCUUCAAAGGAAGCGCCGGCUAACUCCGUGCCAGCAGCCGCGGUAAUACGGAGGGCGCAAGCGUUAAUCGGAAUUACUGGGCGUAAAGCGUGCGUAGGCUGUUUGAUAAGUCAGACGUGAAAUCCCUCGGCUCAACCGGGGAACUGCGUUUGAUACUGUUGGACUAGAGUCCUGGAGAGGGUGGCGGAAUUCCUGGUGUAGGAGUGAAAUCCGUAGAUAUCAGGAGGAACACCGGUGGCGAAGGCGGCCACCUGGACAGGUACUGACG
rnacentral:rRNA from 1 species